rnacentral:tRNA from 1 species
GCGCUGUUCGUCUAGCGGCCCAGGACGCAGCUUUCUCAAGGCUGAGACGCGGGUUCGAAACCCGCACGGCGUACCA